GGGGAUGUAUUUUGGUUUCGACAGUAUUUUUGAAGUAUGAAUAGCGAGUAGUGGAUGGUCGCUUUGGCCACUUAAAAAAAGCGAAAUAAAAAUAAACGCUGAUAAAGAAUUAGCAUACGCUGCCUAGUCGCAACGUCGUCUUACUGUAAGGACUACUGGUACAGAUAAGGCGUCGAUUAAAGUAGGAAACGAAAUUAUUCAUUGCCUUGUGAAUAAUGGGUAAUUAAAGGCUACCAAAAAUCAUAGGCGUGUUUAUUUGCCUAGAUUAGAGGGAAUUUUCAAUAAUAAACUACACUCGUAGAAGUUUAUAUGAAUAGAAUAUUGGACGAGGGUUCGACUCCCUCCAUCUCCACCA
rnacentral:tmRNA from 1 species